rnacentral:rRNA from 1 species
AGCCAGACUCCUACGGGAGGCAGCAGUGAGGAAUAUUGGUCAAUGGGCUUACGCCUGAACCAGCCAAGUCGCGUGAGGGAAGACUGCCCUAUGGGUUGUAAACCUCUUUUGUCAGGGAGCAAUUGGCGCUACGUGUAGCGUUAUCGAGAGUACCUGAAGAAAAAGCAUCGGCUAACUCCGUGCCAGCAGCCGCGGUAAUACGGAGGAUGCGGGCGUUAUCCGGAUUUAUUGGGUUUAAAGGGUGCGUAGGCGGAAUGCCAAGUCAGCGGUAAAAUCGCGGGGCUCAACCUCGCUCCGCCGUUGAAACUGGCGUUCUUGAGUGGGCGAGAAGUAUGCGGAAUGCGUGGUGUAGCGGUGAAAUGCAUAGAUAUCACGCAGAACUCCGAUUGCGAAGGCAGCGUACCGGCGCCCAACUGACGCUGAAGCACGAAGGCGUGGGUAUCGAACAGGAUUAGAUACCCGUGUA